CUGCCUGAUGUGGUGGUUCUACCGCAAAGCGCCCUCGGGCUUCUCCGGCGCCUCCACGGCCGAGGAGGUCACUGCCGGCGUCGAUGGCCGCGGCCUGGUCGCCGUCAUCACCGCGCAGGUGCGUCCAGCGGCAUCGGGCUGGAGACGGCGCGCGUCCUGGCGAUGCGCGGCGUGCACGUCGUCAUGGCCGUGCGCAACGUCUCCGCCGGCCUCGCGGCCAAGGAGGCCAUCGCGGCGAAGAUCCCCGGCGCGAGAGUGGACGUGCUGGAGCUGGACCUCAGCUCCAUGGCUUCAGUGAGGAGAUUCGCCUCCGAGUUCCAGUCUCUCAACCUGCCCCUCAACAUUCUCAUGUACGGACGAACAAUUCCUUCCUCCUACUUCAUACAGUACCACCAGAGAUCACAAACAAGUUGAAAUAAAGGCGGCCUGAAAUUUCGCCAUUGGUUUGGAUCUGUUUGGUGUUGGAUUGAUCUUUUUCCUAAUAGACCCAACGGUCUAUUAGGCCUUUGAUUUGCGCCCUGAUCGGGGGCGCCCAACCCUGAAUGGUUGGUGGGCCCCGCUGCACAGCGCUAAAAUAAAGAGGGGUGAAGGGGCCGGGGCACGCAGAACGAAGUUCGUCGCGCCGCCAGCACCCUCUCCUACAUCCUAAACCCUAGCCGAUCUAGAGGGGCGCUGGAGCAGCGGGAAUCUCCACCACUGCCAUCGAAGCUGAUUCAUCGGCGUCCCCUUCACCGUUCUCGACUCCAACGUCACGUCCACGACGCCUCUGCACUGCUCGUCGCCGCCUUUGAGCGGAUCUCCAUCAACGAACCUGUGAUGGCCGGGCCAAGCUCUUCUGCAGGAACCGAAGCAACAAUGCUGGAGUGAUGACGAGGCACUGCAAGCUUUCCCGCGACGGCCUGGAAUUGCAUUUCGCCACUAAUCACAUUGGUGUGUCUUCUAUAGCACUACAUCCCCAAUUGUGUGAAUUGUUCGAAUGCUUCUCUUGUUUAACUGCCAAAGAGUGUGACUUGGAUAUCUGAAUGUUCAUGUAUGUGGCUUGGAUAUCUGAAUGUUCAUGUAUGGUGGCUGGUGGCUUGGAUAUCUGAAUGUUCAUGUAUGUGGCUUGGAUAUCUGAAUGUUCAUGUAUAGCACUACAUCGGAGGAAUGUUUAGGCUUGUUUUAUGAAUUAUGAGCAUACUGAUUCUGACAAUGCAGUAGCGUUGGACUCGGAUGGCAGGCCAUUUUCUUCUAACAAACCUCUUACUGGAGAACAUGAAGAGUAGCUGCAGGGACGGUGGUGUUGAGGGGAGGAUCGUCAAUCUGACGUCUUCAGCCCAUUUCAUGACCUAUCCUGAAGGGAUAUGUUUCGAUAAAAUUCAUGAUCCUUCAGGUUUGAAUGACUUCAUUGCUUACGGUCAAUCAAAGCUUGCCAACAUUCUUCAUUGUAACGAACUGUCCCGAAUCCUCAAGGAGGAAGGAGUGAAUAUUUCUGCUAAUGCAGUUCAUCCUGGUGUCGUCACGACGAACCUUUUUAGGAACAGGACUAUUGUCUCUGGUGGAGAAGAAGAAGGGGAGAGGAAGAAGAAGCUCAGGAAGAGCACACACGGCAGUGGAGCUGCUUAAAACCACUGAGCUGCAGCUACUCUCUCCUUUAUACACAACCAAGUCAAGGUGAGUCAUUUACAAGGUAUGGCCUUACAGUGCUUUGCAGCUUCUAACACUACUUGCUACUGCUGCUGCUACUACUUGCUACUGCUGCCAUGCUGCUACUAGCAGCUGCAACUAUGCUCACUAGUCUUUGCCGCCCAAAAUCAAGUGGCAAGCCACGGCAGGUCAAAGAGGUAGAGCUACUACUACUAUAAAGAAAGAGAGCAAGCUAGAGCAUGGUGAUUAUCUAACAAAUCUUCCCCUAAUCGCAUUGCUCUUGCUUGAUUUCCUCAACUCCAAUCUUGGUCCUCAACUCUGUGAGUCGAACGCGCCCAAGUGGCUUGGUGAGGAUGUCACCGAGCUGUCGAGCAGUCUCGACAUGCUCGAGCUUGAUCUGUCCACCAUCGACGCAGUCACGGAUGUAGUGGAACUUGGUGUCGAUGUGCUUGCUCCGGUCGUGGUGGACGGGGUUCUUGGCAAGGGCAAUGGCGGACUGGUUGUCCACCAUCAGGACGGGUGCCCGAGCGUCUUCUCCGGUGAGCUCUGCCAGCAGCCUCCCCAGCCAAACUCCCUGGCAACAUGCCGUCGCCGCCGCAAUGUACUCUGCCUCGCAAGUGCUUAGCGCGACGACCUUCUGCUUCGUCGAUUGCCAGGAGAUCGGGCACGCUCCAAGGAAGAAGAGCACGCCAGUCGUGCUCCGCCGUCCAUCAACGUCGCCCGCCAUGUCGCUGUCGCUGAAACCGAUCAGCUCCAGCUCUCCCCUGCUCCUCCUUGGGUAGAUGAGCCCGUAGCCGCGCGUCCCCGCCACAUAGCGGAGCAGAUGCUUGACCGCGGCGAGGUGAUCCUCCCGCGGUUCCGCCAUGAACCGGCUCACGUACCCCACGGCGAACCCAAUGUCCGGCCGCGUGUGUGUGAGGUAGCGUAGCCCGCCGACGAUGCUCCGGUAGCUCGUGGCGUCCACCAAGGAGGCAGUGCUGUCCUUUGACAGCUUGAUCUUCUCCUCCAUGGGCGUCUGGCACGCCCUGCACUCGCCCAUCCCGCUCCGCUCCAGCAGCUUCUCGGCGUAGGAGCUCUGGCGGAGCGUGAUGGCGUCCCUCCCCUGCUCCACCUCGAUCCCGAGAUAGUAGGUGAGCAGGCCGAGGUCAGACAUGCGGAACAUCGCCUUCAUCUUCUUCUUGAACGCAUCGAUGUCACGCUGCUCUGUGCCGGUGACGAUGAGGUCGUCGACGUACACGCCGACGAUUACCAGUCCGCCCUUCGACCGGUGCGUGUAGAGGGCGUGCUCGGUGGCGCACUUGGUGUAGCCGAGCGUGGUGAGGCUGGCGUCGAGCUUGAUGUUCCAUGCGCGCGGCGCCUGACGCAGCCCGUACAAGGCCUUGCGCAGGCGGAGCACCCUGUGCUCCUCGCCGGCGACGACAAAUCCCGGCGGUUGCUGCACGUACACUUCCUCAGCGAGUUCCCCGUUGAGGAACGCCGAUUUCACGUCCAGAUGAUGGACCUCCCAGCUCCUUGACGCCGCCAGCGCCAGUAGUAGGCGCACAGACUCCAUGCGCGCCACCGGCGCAAAGACUUCUUCGAAGUCGAUGCCCUCGCGCUGCACGAAUCCUUUGGCCACGAGCCGCGCCUUGUGCCGCACCACCUCGCCGCGCUCGUUCUUCUUCACCUUGAACACCCACUUCAAUCCGAUCGGCCGGCAUCCGAUCGGCAGGUCCACAAGUUCCCACAUGUGGUUCUCCUCCACCGCCGCCAUCUCCUCCAGCAUCGCCACCCGCCAGCAAGCCUCCUGCUCUGCUGCGGCGAAGCUCGGUGGCUCCUCUGCGCUGCCCAGGUGCAGCUCGAGAUCGUCCAGCACCCGGGCCGCCUGCCCUGGUGGACUGGAAUCACCGACGAGAUCAUCCACCGCGCGGAACCGGAGCGGCUCGCCGGAGUACUCCGCAUCGACGUUCGAGGAGGCGCUCGGAGGAGGCGUGACGUAGUGGAUCGGCGAUGCUGAGCCUGGUGAUGGUGCCGCAGGUGUGGCCGGCGACCCCGCAGGCAAAUGCGGAGCCGGUUCCGCUUCCCCUGUUUCCGAAAUAGGGGAGGCUGGAGCAGGGGAGCCGCCGCCUGGGCUCGUUGCCGCCGCACCUGAAGCAGGGGAGCCAACUCCUGGGCUCGCCGCUGCUUCCCCGUCGGCGUCCUUCCCGCCCUGGACCUCCACGUGCUCGAUGAUGAAGUCCCUCCAGGCUCCGCGCACUGCUUCCCCAUCACCUUGCUCCUCCUCCCAACUCCAACACGCCGCCUCAUCAAAAACCACGUCGCGGGACACCACCACGCGCCGUGCCUGCGGAUCGUAGAGCCGGUACGCCUUGCUACCGCGCUCGUAACCCAGGAACACCAUCGGGCUGCUCCGAUCCUCCAACUUGGGGAGGUUUGGCUUCGUCUUCUUCACAUGCCCGAUGCAGCCGAAUGUCCUGAGGAAGGACACGUCCGGCUUCCUCCCGUGCCAUGCCUCGAACGGCGUCAUGCCGUCCAAGCUCUUGGUGGGCGCGCGGUUCAGAAUGAACACCGCCGUGCUCACCGCCUCGCCCCAGAACGCCGCCGGCAUCCUCUUGGCCUUGAGCAUGCUCCUCGCCAUGCCGACGACCGUCUGGUUCCUCCUUUCCACGACGCCGUUCUGCUGCGGCGAGUACGGCGCCGUGAGAUGGCGUUCCACGCCUUGUCCGGCGCAGUAGAGCCCGAACUCGAUCGAAGUGAACUCGCCGCCGCGAUCCGUCCGCAGCACGCGCAGCUUCUUCCCCGAUUCUGUCUCCACCCGCGCCUGGAACUCCUUGAUCGCCGCCGGCGCCUCAUCCUUGCUUGACAGGAGGUGCAGCCACAUGUAGCGGUUGCAGUCGUCCACCAGAAGCAGGAAGUAGCGCCGCCCGCCGUGCGUUGCUGGCGUGAUUGGCCCGCAGAGGUCGCCGUGGACGAGCUCGAGGAUGUCGCCGGCGCGGUAGCUCGCCUUCUUGGGGAAAGGCAGCCUCCUCUGCUUCCCAGCGAGGCAGCUGUCGCAGAGCUCGCCCGCGUGCUCGAUCAGCGGCAGCCCUCUCACCAUGCCUCGCCUCGCCAUCCUGGCCAGAGCGUCAAAGCUCAGGUGGCCGUAGCGCGCGUGCCAGCGCCAUGCGUCGUCGUCGCAGCGUGCCGCCAAGCACACCGGGCGCGCAAUGCGCAGCGCCAGGGUGUAGAGGCGGUUCUUGCUCCGCGCGACCUUGGCGAGUAGCUUCCGCUCGCGAUCUCUGAUCCGGAGCAUGCCUCCGUCAAUCAGCACCUGGCAGCCUCGCUCGUCGAGCUGGCCAAUGCUGAUGAUGUUGCUCCGGAGCUUGGGGAUGAAGUACACGUUCGUGAGCGCCUUGUGCUCGCCGUCCUUGCACUGGAACACGACCGUGCCGCGCCCCUGAAUGCCAACGCCGGAGUUGUCCCCGAACUUCACGGUGCCGACGACUUCGGUGUCGAGCUCGGAGAAGGCCGCGCGGUUGCCGGUCAUGUGGUUGCUCGCGCCGGUGUCGAGGUACCACUGCUCCUCCGCCUCCUCUUCCGCCCGCCCGAGGUUGACCCGCGCGCGCGGUUCGUCGAGCUCGACGUGCCCGCCGCGAUCCUCUGCCUCGGUGUUGAUGGCGCAGACCUGCGCCAUGAGCAGCGCAGGCUCUUCCUCGUCAUCCUGGGCGAGAUGCGCCCUCUCCUGGCGCCUUGGCUCCUUGCAAUUUCGGGCCCAGUGCCCGAUUUUGCCGCAAUUGUGGCACCGAUCCUUGUCGGCGGCGCGAUUGCCGCCGUCCUUGUCGGUCCCCUCAGCCUUCCGCCGCGGUUUGCCGCGCCGCCUGCCGCGCGCACCGCUUCCGCCACCUCCGCGCGAAACAGAGGAAUCCUCCCCCUGCUUCCUCUCGCGCAGGCGCGCCGCCCACUGCUCCUCCGUGAGCAGUAGCUGGCCGCCGGCGGUCGUGCGGGCGGUUGCCUCCGCGCGAUCUUCAACCGCCUUGAGCCGCCCGGUCACCUCCUCGAUUGUGAGCGUGCUCAUGUCGAGCAGCGUCUCAAUCGAGAGCGCAAUCUGCGCGAAUCGCGGCGGCACGACGCGGAGAUACUUCGCCACCGCCUCCUCCUCGCCGAUGGCGACGCCGACCUGCGCUAGCUGGCUCACCAGUGAGGUGAGCCGCAGCGCGAAGUCCUCGAUGGCCUCUCCAUCGCGGAACGCGAUUGCCUCGUACUCCCGCCUGAGCUGCUGCGCCUUCGCCUUGCGCACGCGGUCGCCUCCCAGCCGCAUCGUCUCCAAACUCUCCCAGGCCUCCUUUGCGGAGUCCUUGGCGCCGAGCGGGACGACGUACUCUGUUGGCACCGACUUGAGGAUGGCCUCCAUGGCCGACUGGUCGUCUUCUUCGUCGGUGGUGCCCGUUGUCACCGCCGCCCACAGGCGCCUUGCCUUGAGCAUCACCUUCAUCAGCACCACCCACUCGGCGUAGUUCGUGCGGGUGAGCAUGGGAUACUGCGCGUUGCCGGCUUCCCGCACCGUCUUCUUCACGACGUACGUCGUCUGCCGACCACGCCGCUCCGGGGAACGCCCGCGCCCACGCUCACGAUCCAGGGAAGUCAUGGCCACCAAGCUCGAACACUCAAGCUCUGAAUACCACUUGUUGGCACUCCCUCACCACACUCACUCACUCUUGCAGGUGGAGAAGAAGAAGGGGAGAGGAAGAAGAAGCUCAGGAAGAGCACACACGGCAGUGGAGCUGCUUAAAACCACUGAGCUGCAGCUACUCUCUCCUUUAUACACAACCAAGUCAAGGUGAGUCAUUUACAAGCUGCAACUAUGCUCACUAGUCUUUGCCGCCCAAAAUCAAGUGGCAAGCCACGGCAGGUCAAAGAGGUAGAGCUACUACUACUAUAAAGAAAGAGAGCAAGCUAGAGCAUGUUUUAUUGAACUCCAUUGGAAGAAUCAUCUGCAGAAGUGUAGAACAGGGUGCUGCUACGACAUGCUAUGUGGCAAUGCAUCCCCAAAUCAAGGGCAUAAGUGGGAAAUACUUUGCCAACUGCAAUAUAGGCAGCCCAAGCUCGCAAGCUUCAGAUCCUGAGUUGGCCAAGAAGCUAUGGCAGUUCAGCUUGCAGACAAUGUCUUCUUGAUCAAGUGAUUAUCUGAACAAGUGAUGCACAGUUUGUUGUACUUAAUGUUUACAGGGCUCUUCUGGAUAUAUGUUGUCAGUGUAUGUACUGCUAUCAAUUAAAUUGCCUCGAUCUGGAUCAAAAUUUUAAAUUUAAACAACACACUAUGAUAAAGUUAUUACAUUUUUUUUACAUAA